GGGGCGUUAGUUCAGCGGGAGAAUACUUCGCUGGCAGCGAAGGAGUCAGGGGUUCGAAUCCCCUACGCUCCA
rnacentral:tRNA from 1 species